AUUAUUUUGGCAGAAUAGUGCAUUAGAUUUAGGAUCUUUAUAUGUAAUAAAUUUACAAAUAAUACAUUUUUAU
rnacentral:tRNA from 1 species